UUAUGAAGAGUUUUACACAUGUUUUUAGUCUAUUUUGUUUCUCUUAAAUAUAUACUUAGUCAUGGGAUUACUGGUCAUAUAGUAUAGGCAGGCAGAUGUUCAGCUUUAAUUGACACAACCAACUGUUUUUGAAAGGGGUUGAGGCAAUUCACACACAAUAGAUAACAAUGUAUAAAAGUUCCAAUUACUCCCAAAAUUUACCAAUAUUUGAUUGUAUUAGUCUUUUUAAAAUUUUAGCCAUGCUGAUGAGUAUGUAUUGGUAACUCAGAGUAGUUCAAUUUGCAUCUUCUUAAUGAGCAAUCUGUGUGAAGUGCCUGAUCAAAGUUUUUGUGUGUGUGUGUGCUUUUAUCAUAUGUAAAUGAUACAUAUACAUAUGAUACAUACACAUAUGAUACACAAAAUGUAUACAUAAUAUGUAUAUAUUAAUAACACAUUUUUGUUAUUAAUUGGUAAGAGUUCUUAAUGUAUUCUGGGUAUGAGUACUUUCUCAGAUAGAAACAUAUACAUAUAUUAUGAUAAAAUUAUUAUUCCAAGCUGUGGCUUGCCUUUUCACUUCUUGUGUCCUGUUUAAGAAAUAUCUACUAUCCCAAGCAUCUGGCAUCUUUCUUGACACAUGUAGCAGUUGCUUUUUGACAGCUUGCUUCUUCAGUGAAUGAAUAAAUUAAUAAAGAGAAAUGUGAUGUUCAGUGAUCCAUUUUGCAGAUUGCAAACUCCUAGAGAAGGGCUCAACAGUGAGUGCUGAGGCUGCACAGAGGAGGAAGGCAGCACAAUGAUGGAAGGCUUCCUAAAGAGAUAACACUAACAAAGUUGACCUUAGAAUUGGAGUGCCUGGGUUAGAACCCUGCUGGUACCACCUGCUUACUGCAUGCUUCUGAUGUGAGUUCAGGAGAAGACACUGGCAAGGACAGCAAAGAACAGGAGAACACUCUAGCUUCCCUGAUAGCAUUCAAGGUGCUGUCCAAACUGACUGUGAUGGCACCCUCCAGACAGACAGCGAUGCCACAUGUUCAAGAUGGCAGAAUCACUAUCAGCUUCAAUUCCUGAAUGACUGCAGAGCAAAAUUUCUUACCCGCAACAUACACUCUAUUUUCAGCCUCCCUGGACUGUUACAUAAUGAUACAUAAAAAUAUUUCUUGUGUUGAGGCAUCCCAAAUUUGAUCUAUUUGUCAUCACAGUCUAUCCUCUGAAUAUAUUUCUGAUCCAAAUAAUGCUAGAUUCAUGCGAGUUUAUAGUCCAGAGAUUUUUUUUUUUUUUUUUUUUUGAGACAGAAUCUCACUGUCUCCCAGGCCGGGGUGCAGUGGCAUAAUCUUAGCUCACUGCAACCUCCACCUCCUGGGCUCAAGUGAUCCUCCCUCCUUAGCCUCCAUGAGUAGCUGGGACCACAGGUGUGCACCACCACACCCCGCUAAUUAUUUUGUAUUUUUUGCAGAGGGGGGUUUCACCACAUUGCCCAAGCUGGUCUCAAACUCCUAGACUUAAGGGAUCUGCCCGCCUUGGCCUCCCAAAAUGCUGAAAUUACACUUGUUAGCCAUAGUAAUAGUUCCUAGCCACAGUCCGGAGAUAUUUUAAAAACUUUAGUGUGAGUUAUUUCUCUUUGCUGUAAUUCUCUCAUGCAUUUUGAAAACCUUUUCUGCCAUACAGUGGUUUUUGGGAAGUCCUUUUGGACAGACAUAUCACAGGAUGGAGAAACUAAAGAGAGAGAAUGCAUUAAAGAAAAAAUAGUACUUCGUAUUUCAGAAAUUACAAAAGGGUGUCAUGCCCCACAGCAUGGUGGGCAGUCAUUUGUAACCCACAGAACAUUGAGUUUCUAAAAUUUGAGUGUUUUUAACUUACGAAGGCCAACUUUACUGAUGAAGUGAUUACCCCAAAUAUGUGAAAUCCAUAUUUCAAGCACAAUAGCAGGAAAUCGGAAAUGGGUAGGUAUAUUUCUGACUGUCAAAGAGUACAAAGUAAAGAGGGGCCCCUGAAGAGUGACACUACUGGAAAAACAGAAGAAAAAAAAAAACUGUUUCUUUUUUUAAAGAGCAGUCAACCUCAAACUUACUACUAAUGACUGUAUUUCAUUUCAGUCUACCCCAGUGGUUUUGUUUCUCAUAGACUGUAGAAUGUAAGCCUUUUUGGUCAUUCUGACAGAUUUUCCAGCACAAAGAAUAUCAGGGGAUUAACUGACAAAUCAUGGGUAUUUUUGGCAAGAUAGUAGAUUAACCCUGGAAAUUUUCUCCAUCUAUGAGAAAAAAAGACAUGUGCCACCUGAGGGUUACAAAGACUGUUGGUGGCUGACCUCAGGCUCCUGUCUUUUAUUUUAUUUUAUUUUUUUUACCAUUUUACCUCUGCCCUGUUUUUUUAAAUUAUUAUUAUUUUACUUUAAGUUCUGGGAUACAUGUGCAGAACUGUGGGUUUGUUACAUGUGCCAUGGUGGUUUGCUGCACCUAUCAACCCGUCAUCUAGGUUUUAAGUCCCACGUGCAUUAGGUAUUUGUCGUAAUGCUCUCCCUCCCCUUGGGCCCCACCCCUCAAUGGGCCCCACCCCUCAACAGGCCCCAGGGUGUGAUGUUCCUCUCUGUGUGUCCUUGUGUUCUCACUGUUCAGCUCCCACUUAUGAGUGAGAACACACAGUGUUCGGUUUUCUGUUCCUGUGUUAGUUGGCUGAGAAUUAUGGCUUGCAGCUUCAUCCAUGUCCCUGUAAAGGACAUGAACCCAUUAUUUUUUGUGGCUGCAUAGUAUUCCAUGGUAUAUGCCAUGUGCCAUGUUUGCUUUAUCAUUGAUGGGCAUUUGGGUUGGUUCCAGGUCUUUUCUAUUGUAAUUAGUGCUGCAAUAAGCAUACAUGUGCAUGUGUCUUUAUAGUAGAAUGAUUUAUAAUCCUUUGGGUAUAUACCCAGUAAUGGGAUUGCUGGGUCAAAUGGUAUUUCUGGUUCUAGAUGCUUGAGGAAUCAUCACACUGUCUUCCACAAUGGUUGAACUAAUUUACACUCCCACAAACAGUGUAAAAGUGUUCCUAUUUCUCCACAGCAUCACCAGCAUCUGUUGUUUCCUGACUUCUUAAUAAUUGCCAUUCUAACUGGUGUGAGAUGGUAUCUCAUCAUGGUUUUGAUUUGCAUUUUUCUAAUGACCAGUGAUGAUGAGUUUUUUUCAUAUGUUUGUUGGCCAAAUAAAUGUCUUCUUUUGAGAAGUAUCUGUUCAUAUCCUUUGCCCAUUUAUUGAUGGGGUUGCUUGAUUUUUUUCUUGUAAAUUUGUUUUCAGUUCCUUGUAAAUUCUAGAUAUUAGACCUUUGUCAGAUGGGUAGACUGCAAAAAUUUUCUCCCAUUCUAUAGGUUGCCUGUUCACUAUGGUGAUAAUUUCUUUUGCUGAACAGAAGCUCUUUAGUUAAUUAGAUCCCAUUUGUCAAUUUUGGCUUUUGUUGCCAUUGCUUUUGAUGCUUUAGUCAUGAAGUCUUUGCCCAUGCCUGUGUCCUGAAUGGUAUUGCCUGGGUUUUCUUCUAGGGUUUUUAUGGUUUGGGGUUUUACAUUCAAGGCUUUAAUCCAUCUUGAGUUAAUUUUUGUAUAAGGUAUAAGGAAGGGGUUCAGUUUCUGUUUACUGCAUAUGGCUAGCCAGUUUUCCCAGCACCAUUUAUUAAAUAGAAAGUCCUUUCCCCAUUGCUUGUUUUUGUCAGGUUUGUCAAAGGUCAGAUGGUUGUAGAUGUGUGGUGUUAUUUCUGAGGUCUCUGUUUCAUUGGUCUAUAUAUCUGUUUUGGUACCAGUACCAUGCUGUUUUGGUUACUGUAGCCUUGUAGUAUAGUUUGAAGUCAGGUAGUAUGAUGCCUCCAGCUUUGUUCUUUUGGCUUAGGAUUGUCUUGGCUAUCUGGGCUCUUUUUUGGUUCCAGAUGAAAUUUAAAGUAGUUUUUUUCUAAUGCUGCAAAAAAAGUCAAUGUUAGCUUGAUGGGAGUAGCAUUGAAUCUAUACAUUACUUUGCUCUGCCCCUGUUUAUACAUAUAUGACUGAUAUGGUUUGGCUGUGUCCCUGCCCAAAUCUCAUCUUGAAUUCCCACAUGUUGUGGGAGGAACCUGGAGGGAGGCAAUUGAUCAUGGGGCAAGUCUUUGCCACGCUGUUCUUGUGAUAGUGAAUAAGUCUCAUGAGAUCUGACGGUUUUAAAAAGAGGAGUUCCCCUGCACAAAUUCUCUUUGCCUGCUGCCAUCCAUGUAAGGCAUGACUUACUCCUCCUUGCCUUCUGCCAUGAUUGUGGGGCUUCCUCAGCCACGUGAAACUGUAAGUCCAAUUAAACAUCUUUCUUUUGUAAAUUGCCCCGUCUCAGGUAUGUCUUUAUCAGCAGUGUGAAAAUGGACUAAAACAAUGAUACAAGAGUAGUUAGAACAGCAUUUAUAAAUGUGCCAAUGUUAAUCAACAUAGGAGUUAACGAUUCCCUGUUUUUCUGUGAUUUCUCAUGCACCAAAAAUAUAUUAAGAUAAAAUAUACAAUUUUCAUUCACUAUUAAGUGAUUAACCUCAUACUGCUUUCAAAGGCAUUUAUUGGCACCUACUAUGUGUGAAUACACUCAGCUUGCUUAUGUGAAAACUGAAUAACAAAGUGGUUAUGUAACUUAAUGAAGGUCCCACAACUAGGAAGUGGUAGAGUAACUUUCUAAACCACUUUCCUCCCAGUUUAGUUUCACAUUCAUGUGUUCAGUCAACAAGCACUUAUGGAAUCCUGAUGCUGGGCCCUACUUUAUGGUAGACACUGAAGAUACAGACUUUGUCCCUGCCCUCAUGGAGUUCACAGUUCAGGAGGGAAACCAGAUUUAAUCAAAUAACCACACAAAAAUUUGCUCGUAAAAUGAAACCAAUGCUAUAAGGAAAAUGAACAGGGUGAUUUGAGAGCAUAUAAUAGGAUUUUAUCGUAUCUGAUGAUUCAGAGUAAUGUUCUCCUAUAGAAGAGAUGUGGGAACUGACAUCUGAAGUGUCAGUGUUAGUUAGCCAGGUGUGGUAUAUAAAAGAUGACCAACUUAUCCACCAAGAGGUAGAAUUGCUUUCCCCAUGCAUUAAAUCUGGACUGGCCUUUGACUUGCAGUGUCCAACAGAUAAAGUGGAAGUUUCUGCUCUUGCUCCCUUGGAAUAUUGUUCUGAGACUGCCAGCUGAAGAAGUCUAGUCUAGUCUAGUUUAUUAGUGGAUGAGAAGCUGGUAGAAAAGAGAAAAACUGUUGCAGCUGAGUCCCCUGAGUCCAACCAGUUGACAGCCUGCAGCGACUGUGUGAGGCCAUCUUAGAUUAUUCAGCCCCACUAAAGAUGCCAAAUAUCUGCAGCUGUAAAAGUGAUUCCAGGCAAUAACAGAAGAACCAUCCUGCUGAUCCUAGCCCAAAUUGCUGGCCAUAGAACCAUGAGCUAAUAAGACAGCUGUGGUUAUAAUAUAUUGAGUUUGGGGUUGGCAUGUUACAUGGCAGUCAGUUAUUGAUACCCUGAGAGAAGUAUGGAAGCUGGGACUGAAUUCUAGGAAGAGGGAAAGAUAUAGGCAAAGGUCCUGAGGAGGGAAGAAUAAACUUUUAGAGAACUGAAAGAAAGAUGAUGAGAUAGAAGACUUCAGAGGGCUAGGCAAGGCCCAAGUCUAAAAGCAGUGUCUUAGAAUCUGUCAAAAAUCUCAUCUUUUUAUUGUUGUUUGGAACAAAGUCUUUCUUUAUUGCCUAGGCUGCAGUCAUGCAGUGGCACAAUUAAAGCUCACUUCAGCCUCGACCUCCUGAGCUCAAGCAAUCAGCCUCCUGACUAGCUGGGACUACAGGUGUGGAUGACUAUACCCAGCUAUUUUUUUUUUUUUUUUUUUUUUUUUUUUUUUUUGUAGAAACAGGGUCUUACCAUGUUGCUCAGGCUGGUCUCAAACUUCUGGGCUCAAGCAAUCCUCCUGCCUCAGCCUCCCAAAGUGUUUGGAUUAUAGGCAUGAGCUAGCAUGCUCGGCUGUGAGUUCAAUUUUUUUCUUUAAAAGCAAGAGAAAGUCACUGUAGAGAUUUUGAGCUCAGAAGUGUCAUGAAUAGACUUGCACAUGUGCAUAUAUUGUUUUUUUUUUUUUUUCACCAGGCGCAAACUUAUGGUGGAAGGGACCUACAUUAAGCACACAUAAGUAGAAGCUGGCCAGGCAUGGUGGCUCAUGCCUGUAAUCCCAGCACUUUGGGAGGCCGAGACUGGUGGAUCACGAGGUCAGGAGAUCGAGACCAUCCUGGCUAACACGGUGAAACCCCGUCUCUACCAAAAAUACAAAAAAAAAUUAGCCAGGUAUGGUGGGGGGCGCCUAUACUCCCAGCUACUCGGGAGGCUAAGGCAGAAGAACGGCUUGAACCCGGGAGGCGGAGUUUGCAGUGGGCCGAGAUCGCGCCACUGCACUGCAGCCUGGGUGACAGAGUCUGUUUCAAAAAAAAAAAAAAAAAAAAAAAAGUAGAGGCUGAGUAGAAGCUGAGUAAAUCCUAUUUUACUAUUUGACUGAUUAAAUCACGAAGAUACCCAGGAGGCAAAACUGAAACAGCUCAGGUGUCUAGGGGAAGUCCAAAGUAGAGGACACUGUGAACCAGCUACCAUGACUGACCUCAGUUUGAAACUACUGGGGUAGUCUGUAUUAUGGCUGAAAAAUUCAUUCUUUCUACCAAGAUUUUCCAUUGAAAAUUUGCCUUUGACUUAUUUAACUUCUAAUCAGCUGACCUUCUACCUUUUUUGCAUUUGAAGUAGAUUUCUUUUAGUAGGCCAGCGGGUAAACAAGGAGAAAACACACAGGGAAAGUCAGAUGCAUCAUUGAACCGAGUUUCUCUCUCUAAACCUGUAAAGUACUAGUGAAAAUUCCUACUGUCGAAUCAAUUACAACUGCAAGCUUAGAAUCAGGGUACAGUGCUACUGUUAAGACUUUGGCCCUUGGCCUUAGUGGUUUGUAAGGCUUGUAAAGAAGUAAAGUAUCUCUUUAUUCCAGUUCUUGAAUCCAGUUCAUGAAUCAAGGGAGAUCCUUGGAUGUCUGAUGGCUGCUAUUCUGUUUCUCAAACAAUUUGAAUUCAGCAAGCCAUCACUGAAGAUAUGGAGUCACACAGUCAAGUUUAAAUCCAUGCUAUGCUAUUUAAAACUUGCAAUUUUUGCUUCAGUUUCUGAAACGGUAAGGGGCACAGGGAUAAUACAGUCUGCUUACCAUAUGGGUGAAGAUGUGGGGGAAGAUUAAAUACAUUGUUCUUACAUGAAAUUGUAAAUAGAAAGCUCCUCCACAGUAAGCUAUCAGCUAAAGCUAGUUUACUUUCCACUGCUCUUCAAUAACGGAAAGAGUAAUUUUUCAUUACUGAAGGAUAGACACUGAUGGCAUUUUUUUGUUUCGUAUAUUUUAUAUAUGCUUGGAUUUUAUAUUGAUCUUUGCUGUAAAUUUGCUUAAUUUUAAAUAGGAAAAUUAUCUUUCCUUGGCCUAUGUUUCAGCCUUUACUCCAGUUCAAUGAUUUCAACACUGGCUGGAAAUUGGAAUGUUAACAAAAAUAUCAAUGCCUAUUUUCAUUCCCAAAGAUUCUAGUAUAAUUGGUCUGAAUUGUGGCCUGGGUAUUGGGAUUAAUUUAAUAAAAUAAUCUUUUGUAAAUAAUUUUGUGCACAAAUUCAUUGAACUACAGAGAAUUUUUGAGAAGUAAAGGAUAGGUAUUCCUAGAACACGCUGCUGAUCUAGAUAGAUAACCAACGUUAUUUUCACUACACUCUGCCUAUAGAAUGACAUAAUAAAACUUUUAAAAAACAUUUUUAGUCAAUAUGGCAACUGAAUAGGCUUCAGGCGACCUUAUGGGUAAAAUAGCUUUGUGGCUCAUUAAAUGAGCACUCUUAGAUAUCGCCUGUGGGGAAUCCAGCCUGGAACCAAAGUAUGCUCCGUGGUGACCAGGGAGUUGUGUUACUCCCCUUUACUUGAGGUAGAAAAUAAAAAUAGAAGUAUUGCAUUCAAAUUACCAGGGGUUGUGACCCUCUACUAUCUCAUGUGUGUCAUGUAUCUCACGUGAUGUGGCUUUCGUCACUUGAUGUGUGUAGGCUUCUCAAUUUCACUUAAAAACUAAUUCUUCAAUUAGGGUAUGCUGCCACCAGGUGGCAAUGAGGGCCUCACUUGUGGUCGCUAUCUUUGAAUAAUAGUUGUUCAUUCAUACAUUCAUUCGUUUUUCAUGGCAACUUGAAAAGGUUGAUAUGCCUUUUUACUUGCUAUCUCUUAAAAUUCAAAAUGUAAACUUUAAUACUAAAACUGAACGUCUAUAGCUAAUUAUAGUUUUAAUAAUUUUAAAGAUUAUAUAUACAGGUGUGCAGGAAUAGCUGCAUAUGUAUGUGAAACUCUACAUGUCUACAUGUAUGAAUGGUUUUAGAGAAAUUAAAGAAAAAAGUAUGUAUCUUCUUCACUAUCCCUUAUUAAUUACUAGUCACAGCAAAACCAUACAUGCUUAUUUCUAUUCUUCUGUAGCCAAGUUUUGCUGUUAGUAUCUUUAUGAGUUGAGUACUGUUGUGUAAUUUUAGACCAACCUGAUGGUUGUUGGUCUGAAAUUAUGAGAUUGAAUACUACUGUACUAUUGAGCACUAUUGUACUAUUAUCUUUAUGAGAUUGAGUACUAUUGUGUAAUUUCAGACCAACUUGAUGUUAAAAUUCAAUCACAGGAUUCUCAAACUUUCUAGCAAUGCGUAAUUCUAAUUAAGGAAUUAUUAAUAUAUUUGCUUUUCCAUAUCUUGGUAAUGAAGUGAUUUCUAUCAACAUUAGCUCCUAAUAAGUUAUCUUUUAUUUCUUUCACAUUGAAGAACCGAGAGGACAAUAACAUAGCUUUGUUUUAUUAUUGUGUUUAUUGAGUCCUCAUGACCAAUUUCUCCUAAUCAGAAGAAAGAAACUUUCUCUUGUCCAUAGAAGAGGGAAACAUCAGGAUGAUGUAGUCAUUAGCUAUGUAUGACCUGAAAGUUAUGUGCAAUAAUUCUCCUCUAUCAGAUGAAUAUGACUUCUAUAUCAUCUUAAGUUUUAACAGAUCAACAUAAAGGAUUUAGUAAGAAGCAACUAAGAAAUUAUUUUAAAAACAUACCGUUACCCAUAAAGAAAAAUUGAUAAUGUCUUUGUGCUUCCCUGUGCCUUUUUAAAGAAAAAGUCCCAGUAAUUCACCCCCUCUUCCAAGUUGAUACCACACAUGCCUGGAGACAUCGUAAGGGGCCACAACAAAUUAAAUUUUGUGUUAUCAAAGAAAGUUCCCAUCUUUGGGUUGAGCAUGAGACAUUUUCACUGCCUCUGGGGUGACUGAUUAGAAUUCUUACCAACUGACCCACUUUCUGCCAAUUGCUGCCUACAAAAACUAAUCACACCCUCUCUUGUAUAAAUGUAAAACAAAGAUUUGGGAGGGUCACUUAGCCCAAGGUGUUUACACAGAGCAAAGCUGAGCAACUUUCUAGAUAACUUCUGAUGCCUAUAGAGCCAGAAGUAAGGAGACCUGGGCUCAGAGAGAGAGUGCUGCUGAGAUAUCAUUUCUCCUUCUCUCUUAAGCUUCUUUGUAUCUUGGAAUAGUUUGCCUUGACUUUAAAGAAUCUAUACAUCUCAGGAAUAUCUUCAGCUAGGCUGGCCCAGACAUACGUCUUUAAGAUAGCCUUUUUGAUGGCAUUUCCAUGCAAAUUUUAAAUCAAGGUUGAUAGCAUUAUCAGACAAUAAACACUUGUGGUUUUAAUCUUCAUGAUUUUGACUCUUUGGAAAAGAUCUUGAUGAUCCAUGAAAUUUUUUAAAAAGUAUUAUCAAACCUCAUCUCUAAAAAUGUUGUGGUGGCCACUCCACAUGUCUCUGUCCUUUCUUUUUCUACAUUCAUUUCCCAAUCAAAUGACAUGACUUCAAAUGCAAAAAAUGUUUAUCAUUUCCUGAAAUUAUUACUUAGCUAGUUAAUUCUCAUAUCUUUAUUUAAUCUUUCUUAUGUUUCUGCAAUGUUUUCUCAAUUAUUUUUAAUUUCUUCUGAAGCCGGACUUCAUAUAUUGAUACUCUGCAUCAUCAUUCCUGAUUCAAAGUGAAGUACUCUAAGCCUCCCACAAAGCUUCUGUCCAUUCAGUUCAUUCAUGCGUUCAUUAAUUUUUCUACUUCAUUUAUUUAUUCAUGCAAUAAAUAUUUAUUGAGUACGUAUUUUGUUUCACUCUUCUUUUUGUUGAUACAUAAUAACUGCAUAUUUAUGAAGUUCGUGUGAUAUUUUGAUGCAUGCAUAUAAUAUAUAAUAAUCAAAUAGGGGUAACUAGGAUAUCCAUCAUCUCAAAUAUUUAUCAUUUCUUUGUAUGGAAAACAUUCCAAGUCUUCUCUUCCAGGUAUUUUGAAAUAUACAAUAAAUUAUUAUUAACUAUAAUCACCCUAGUGUGCUAUUGAACCAUAAAACUUAUUUUUUCUAACAGUAUUUUUGUAACUAACAAGCCUCUUUAUCGCCUCCCCUAUCAGCCUUUGGUAAGCACCAUUCCACUUUCUACUUCCAUGAGAUCAGCUUUUUUAGCUCCCAUAUAUGAGUGAGAACGUGCAAUAUUCAUCUUUCUAUGCCUGGCUUAUUUCACUUAACAUAAUGUCCCCCAAGCUUACCCAUGUUACUGAAAAUUACAGGAGUUCAUUGUUUUUUAUGGCUGCAUAAUAUUCCAUUGCCAGGCACUUUUCUUGAUGCUGGUAUAAUAAAAGAGGCAUUCUUGCCCUCAUGGAGCCCAUGUUCUAGUGGAUCAAGGAGGCAAAAUAUAUAGGAAACCUAGAUAGCACAAGGCAGAAAAUUAGCAGCUCCAGGUCUAUUUGGCAAGCUUAAGCUGUCUGCAUGGAACCCUAGCCAGCAAUGGCCAAAUCAAGAAUGGUUUCCUGCCCAUGGCUAGUUCCUGCUGUAUCUGGUGUCAACACUGAAUGGUGGAAUGUUGACUGCUCUGAAGGUUUUCCUUGAUGCCCUUCAAACUGGCCUGGCCAAAAUAAUUGGACUCUUCUCUCACUUCCUGCCCCAGAUUUUAUUUCACCAAGACUAAAGUUUUGCCUUAAAUGUUCAAGCUUUACUUGAAAACUUGUUCCCUGAUCUGCUCUUUCCAGGUCCCACUGGUAGAGAUUGUUCCUGGUCUUUCCUCCCCUAAUCCUGGCUAAAAUACUGCUUUAAGAUGGAAUCAUUACCAUGGCAUUUCCAUUUCUCUGGUUUUUUUUUCAACAAUUUAUUUAUAUACAUUAAAAUAGCAAUGAACUACAUGCUGUAUAUGAAACAUUUUCCUGGGAAUUGGGGAUAUAGAAGUAAAUGAUACUUUUGAUCUAACAUGAUUUACCAUGUUUCACAUGAUAUUUCUUACGUAGCAGCUACUCAAUCCUCUUUUGUUCUAUUUGUCAAUAUAAAAUUGUUUUCAAAAACUUUAAAUGUCUUAUCAAUUUGUCAAGGAUUUCCUCUGGCUGUAGAUAUGCUUUUGUGUGUGGGGGGUGUGUGUGUAUGUGUGUGGUAUAUGUGUGUGAAUAUGUGUGUGUGUGUAUGGGUGUGUGUGUGUGUAUGUGAGUAUGUGCUGUGUGUAUGUGGUAUGUGUGUGUGCAUGUGUUUGUACAUGUGUAUAUGUGUGUG